CCACACCUAAAAAACUUUACACGUGAACCGUUUCAACCCAAUAGUUGGGGGUCUUAUUUGGCGGCGGCUGCUGGCUUAAUUGGUGGCGGCUGCUGCUGAGUGAGCCCUAUCAAAAGAAAGGCAAACGUUUGGGCUUCGGCCUGAUUUAGUAGUCUUUUUUUCUUUUAAACCCAUUCCUUAAUACUGAAUAUACUGUGGGGACGAAAGUCUCUGCUUUUAACUAGAUAGCAACUUUCAGCAGUGGAUGUCUAGGCUCGCACAUCGAUGAAGAACGCUGCGAACUGCGAUACGUAAUGCGAAUUGCAGGAUUCAGUGAGUCAUCGAAAUUUUGAACGCAUAUUGCACUUCCGGGUUAGUCCUGGAAGUAUGCCUGUAUCAGUGUCCGUACAUUAAACUUGACUUUCUUCCUUCCGUGUAGUCGGUGGAGGAGAUGUCAGAUGUGAAGUGUCUUGCGAUUGGUCUUCGGACCGGCUGCGAGUCCUUUUAAAUGUACUAAACUGAACUUCUCUUUGCUCGAAAAGUGGUGGCGUUGCUGGUUGUGAAGGCUGCUAUUGUGGCAAAUUGGCGACUGGUUUGUCUGCUGCGGCGUUAAUGGAAGAGUGUUCGAUUCGUGGUAUGGUUGGCUUCGGCUGAACAAUGCACUUAUUGGACGUUUUUCCUGCUGUGGCGUGAUGGACUGGUGAACCAUAGCUCGGUGGCUUGGCUUUUGAAUUGGCUUUGCUGUUGCGAAGUAGGGUGGCAGCUUCGGUUGUCGAGGGUCGAUCCAUUUGGGAACUUAAUGUGUACUUCGGUAUGCAUCUCAA
rnacentral:rRNA from 1 species